rnacentral:rRNA from 1 species
CCUACGGGUGGCAGCAGUGAGGAAUAUUGGUCAAUGGGCGGAAGCCUGAACCAGCCAAGUCGCGUGAGGGAUUAAGGCCCUGCGGGUCGUAAACCUCUUUUGCCGGGGAGCAGAGGUCCGGACGUGUCCGGGCCGGGAGAGUACCCGGAGAAAAAGCAUCGGCUAACUCCGUGCCAGCAGCCGCGGUAGUACGGAGGAUGCGAGCGUUAUCCGGAUUUAUUGGGUUUAAAGGGUGCGCAGGCGGAUUUUUAAGUCAGCGGUCAAAUCGUGGGGCUCAACCCCAUCCAGCCGUUGAAACUGGGGAUCGAGAGUGUGCGAGAGGUAUGCGGAAUGCGUGGUGUAGCGGUGAAAUGCAUAGAUAUCACGCAGAACCCCGAUUGCGAAGGCAGCAUACCGGUGCACAACUGACGCUCAGGCACGAAAGCGUGGGUAUCGAACAGGAUUAGAUACCCUAGUAGUC